rnacentral:ncRNA from 1 species
UUAAAUCUGCCACCGGGUAGGAAUGCAUAUGUGCAUUCACAUACACAUCGUUAGGUCAUAGAAGAUGUGUAUAGUGGGUGCUUUUUUUAU